rnacentral:rRNA from 1 species
GGGGGUCCCUGCCUCCGCAGGGGCCGCAGCAGCCGCAGCCGCUAGAGGAGGGUGAGCUCCGGCAGGCGCUCCAGCAGCCGCUCCAGGAGGAGCUCCGUCAGGGUCUUCCCGCCCCUCGCCCGGCCCCUCCCCGAGGCGUAGGCCUCCUUCCUGCCUCUCUCCGCCGGCUCCGGCUCCGACUCCAGCUCCAGCUCCAGCACCAGCCUCAGCUUCCUCUUCCCCCUCGGGCCCCGCCCCCAAUCCCAAACUCUAAGCUACAGCUUCAGCCCCCUCUACAGCCUCACCCACUUCACCACGAGGAGGAGGAGCUUCCGCAGCCUCUUCCUCUCCAUCCUCCCGAGGGGCUCGCUGGGGCCCGGCAGGAGCAGCUACGGCUCCUUCUUGAGCAGCCGCUCGGGGCGGUACCGCCGCCGCCGCCGCAACCUCCUCCCCUUGCCCUCCCCCCCUUAACCCCGCC